GGGUAUGAAAGAAGAAGUCAUUUGUUAAAAGUUAUAAGUUUGAAUUAAUUAAAAUAUAGAAUUCUGACACAGAGUUUUUUUAGUGGGGUGGUGAGUGUAUCUGGUUGAAGCCAGAUAACAAGGACUGCUACAAUGGACAUGGGAAGGACCACCAGCUGGGCCAGAUAAGGCCCGAAGAUGGCCUAGGCUCUCUAAGAGCAUGUACAAGGAGGGAAGGUGAAAAGUUCAAUGCAAGGAAUAUGGCCUAUCUUCAUCCCCAAAGACCCCAUCGACCAUUAGUAUGAGAAAACGCGCAAGCGCUAAGAGGAGGAGACCUAUGAUAAUGAGUUCCUGGAAUUAAUCUUACUAUGAUAAUGAGUUCCAGUGACUAAUCUUACUAACCCUACCCAUUUCUUGGAAAAGACAUGACUAUGUAUGUUAUCUUAAUGCAUAUGUAUAACAUGGCACAAUAAAGAUGUACCGACUUUGACACAUGGUGUGCAAGCUUGGAGGAAAGAUCCCCCUUGCACCCUGUGCACAGCUGCAUACCUGCACCUAAUUCUGCAUUUGGUGUCAUCGCUCUGUGAGUCAAGUGUUCCUGCAAAUAGUACCAGCGUGCUUUAGGAACAGCCACUCUAGGCAUCCACAAAACCCAACCACUUUUGCAGUCGUGGAAAGAGCUGGCUAUCACUUUAUGUUUUGAUCUUUUUUCUAAAAGAGGAGACAGAGGUGGUUCAAUGUUAACAGGUGGAAGAAAUGCCUCUUCCAUCACUUUGAAUGCCCUCACCUGAGCACUGCAGAAGCCCUGCUGUCUGGACAGGAGACCCACACUCCCUGAAGUGGCCAGGGCAGGAGUCUCGUCUGGAGUUAUGGCAGAGGUCCCAGGAUAUUUAUGAAGAGUUUGAAGGAGAGAUGAAAAAGCAACAGAUUUUAUACCGCUCUCUAGGAGCUUAGAGAUUUCUUUGGAGGAUUUCAACACCCUCUGGAAGUCAACCAAAAAAAAUACCGAAUGUGCUGUGGUUACUUGUGGGUGUGUAAAACAUUCCUUGCAUUUCUGGCAAGAAAGGGACUUGGGAGUAGGAAAUUAUGGAAGGGUGGAGGCUUGCUAGAGGUCCUUAAAUGGUGAGGUCAGGGGUUGCUGGCUGUAACUGAGGAAGACAACAUGGAGUGAGGAAAGAACUACUUCCUUUGGUCAUCACACGUCAGCGUCCUGUUCCUUCACCUUCUUCAGUAUCUUACAUCUGCACAGAGGGAAAGCACAGCCCUUCACCCUCCUUAGGGUUCAGCUCAUAUAACCGUCUUUCCUGCUAAAAGAAAGAAAAGCCCUUCCUAAGAAAGUUGUGACUAAGCAGGCAUUUGGAUCGAGACUAGAUCAAGAUUACUUUUACUCUUUCCUCCACAUCUUCACAUUGUGUCCCUACAGUACUUGAAAAGUAGGGCAUGUUUGUGUUAAAAAUUAUAUAAAAACGCAACAGUUUGGAAGAGAGCAAGUAAUCAGUUAUAACAACAAUACAGGUUAACUCUUCAGUGUUGCCACAGUAGGAAGGAAUAAAAACAGUGUGUUUUGCCUGUACAGAAGUUUCUGUGUCAUCUCAGUGACAUUUAGGUGGGGAGGAUGCCUUUUCAUAGCCGGCUACUUUGGGGACAGUGGAAGGAAAGGCCUUUCUUUGUUGGAAGGCUUUCUUCUCUGAAUGUUCUAAGAUAUACUUGCCAACAAAUCUGACGUGCUUGACAGGAUUACAGAGGUUGGUGACUAUGUAAUCCAGAUGGAGGGUCACCUGGAGUUCUUGCCUGGCCUCUUCCUUCACCCCAACACUUCCUGAAGGCAGAAUUUCAAUGAAUAUGUGUCUUGUUCAUUCCUGCGUACCCAGCUAUGGCUCUCCAAAGCUUUGAGAAGAGUUUGAACACAUCAAACAAGCAGGCUGUAUUCAUGAUAUGUUCUCCAACAGUAGACUUGGCUUGGGAAAUUGGAUAAAAAGCCUUGUUUCAUGUACCUCAGUGCUGCAGAUUUGAAUUUUUAUCUUCCUGGCAUGUCCAGUAUAUAGCCAGGUCAGACCUUCCAGACUUCCUGAUCUCUGGGGAAACAAUCUUUAAACUCUAAUUGUUCAGGGGAUUGAGCUGUGUUUGGCAGAUGAAUUCCAUGGUAUCUGUGUGGACCAGCUCAUCAGAGUAAUUUCUGCCUCUCCAGGAUACAAAGCGGGGCAUGUUACAGUUUUUGAGACUGUGCUACAAGCUUGCAAGGUCAAUUCAUGUCAUGUUGACAGGAGAAUUAUUGCAUCUUAUAAUAAUCUAUCUGUCCUUUGGCAAAAAUACAUUCUUCUUUGCAGGACAUGUACACUGAACACAGCAGAUGCAUGUGGCUUGUUAUCAAAUUGAUUUUUUCAGGCAAAAUAAAUUACACGUGUGAAAAAUCUGCAGGGAAGUUAGGGAAACUGAGAAUGAUUAGACGUGUUAGUGGAAAAUACAAGAAAAGAGAAACUCACAGCUGCAGUGAAAAGAAAACAGAUGGUUGGGGAAGGUGAUGGGAAGUCUCGAGGUCUUAAGAAGGACUGGCUGGUAGUAGAGAGAGACUGGGUCACUCAUGAACUUCAUCUUCUGCCCUUCUGUAGGAAGAUACUCUCUUUUGGGAAAGACUAGGCCUCUUCAUGUCUUACACGAUCUCAUGAGAGUCUAAUAAAAAUGCAAAUGUAACCUCAGAAACUACAAGGACACUGUGCACACCUGUGGCCCUCUCUGCCAACUGCUGUUUGCAGCAUGUUUGCACAGCAGUGGAGACCAGCAGCCAACAAGCAGAAACUUUUGACUUAUCAUGAGCCUUCCCACUGCUGGCUGUGGGGAGAGGAUAGAGAAGAUGAGCUGAAAAUAAUAGUGGUGAGUAUAGGUUAUAUAUAGUAUCGAAGGGUCAAAAGCAGGAGUGGAGAGACGUAUAAUAGUCAUCUUUCAUGUGCAAAUUACUAAAGCUAUCAUGUAAUAAAACUGUACACAACACAAAAUCUAAACAGAGUCUGGUUUAUCUCACCAGCCCCAUUAAUGACUACGAAUGCCAAACAUUUCAAAGCAGAACAUUAUAUUCAAUGCAUUUUAACAUGCCAGAGAGUGGGAUGAGAAAGACUUGCAGAUCACUCAUCAGGCAUGUGUACUACCAAAGGAAAAACCUGGCUGGACCUCCAGAAACUGUGGUUCUCUUCCUGGAUGAAUGAACAGCCUGCUGAAUGAUGUUAAGAAAACUAGUUUACUUCUGAAUGCCUCUUUUUCCAACUCUAAGACAUGAAGGCUGCUACCAUACAUGUACAUACUUUAUCUGACCUCUUCUAAAAACCUGUGGAAACCUGAAAGCAGUAAGUACUUGUACAGCAUUUGGUGAUACUUAAAGCAGUGCUAGACAUUAAGAAUGCUGUGUCAAGUUGCAGUUUCUAGUCAUGAAUACUAGGUACUGAUCGGACAGAGAGAAAGUUAGUCACAAGACCUGCCAGCUCACAUUGUCUUUAUCCAGAUAGUCCCAGUCAAGAAAGGGUAGCAAGCUGCAUUUCACCUAGUCAUAAAGUUCCCUACAUUUGCAGUACCAUCAGAUACUUCGGGAGAUACUGUUUCCUGAAGUAUCUUUCCUUCCUACAUAAUUCAAUGGCAAUAUCUAUGUUGCUUCUCUCUUAACUGCUUAGUUGACCUUGUUCUUCAGAGGUUUUUUCUACCUAUCUCAUCAAGUAUUUUUUCCUUAUCGCUCCUAGUAUAAAAAUGUAUCAGUGCUUUCUUUGCCGCUUGCAUACAAAAUUUGAAUGAGGUCUAUCAAUUUAUUACUUGAUUCCUACAAUGACCUAUCAACAUUGUAAAUAUGACAGCAUGCAAUUUCUGAAUAUUCCGAUGCUGUGAAUGCAACUUGCAAAAGCUUCAUGCUAUGUAUAUACAUAUAAGCAAAUCACAGAUCUCAAGCUACAUAUUAAGUAAGGGUGCACCUUAUUCUUUCUUGUGGAGCUAUGUCACCAGCCAAUAAAGACUGCAAGAUUCAGAUGAUGAGAGAAAACAAGAGAAAGGCUUGACUCUAUAAACUAAGCCCUUUAUUGAAACGCAGCUUUAAGUCUUGUUCCAAGGAAUAAAAACCAAAACCAAUUGUAUUUUGAUGGCCAUUGCCAUCACCCCUUACAAGGACAUUUGGAAAUUAAGGUUCAGA